rnacentral:rRNA from 1 species
UACGGAGGGGGCUAGCGUUGUCCGAAGUUACUGGGCGUAAAGCGCGCGUAGGCGGGUUGGUAAGUCCGCUGUGAAAGCCCGGGGCUUAACUCCGGAGGGUCGGUGGAUACUGCCAGGCUUGAAGGUGCUAGGGGGAGAUGGAAUUCCCGGUGUAGCGGUGAAAUGCGUAGAUAUCGGUAGGAACACCAGUGGCGAAGGCGGUCUCCUGGGGCAUUCUUGACGCUGAGGCGCGAAAGCUGGGGGAGCAAACGGG